UACGUAGGGUGCGAGCGUUAAUCGGAAUUACUGGGCGUAAAGCGUGCGCAGGCGGUUUGUUAAGACAGAUGUGAAAUCCCCGGGCUUAACCUGGGAACUGCAUUUGUGACUGGCAAGCUAGAGUAUGGCAGAGGGGGGUAGAAUUCCACGUGUAGCAGUGAAAUGCGUAGAGAUGUGGAGGAAUACCGAUGGCGAAGGCAGCCCCCUGGGCCAAUACUG
rnacentral:rRNA from 1 species